GACGAACGCUGGCGGCAUGCCUAACACAUGCAAGUCGAACGAGAUCUUCGGGUCUAGUGGCGCACGGGUGCGUAACGCGUGGGAAUCUGCCCUUUGGUUCGGAAUAACAGUUGGAAACGACUGCUAAUACCGGAUGAUGACGAAAGUCCAAAGAUUUAUCGCCAGAGGAUGAGCCCGCGUAGGAUUAGCUAGUUGGUGUGGUAAAGGCGCACCAAGGCGACGAUCCUUAGCUGGUCUGAGAGGAUGAUCAGCCACACUGGGACUGAGACACGGCCCAGACUCCUACGGGAGGCAGCAGUGGGGAAUAUUGGACAAUGGGCGAAAGCCUGAUCCAGCAAUGCCGCGUGAGUGAUGAAGGCCUUAGGGUUGUAAAGCUCUUUUACUCGGGAUGAUAAUGACAGUACCGGGAGAAUAAGCUCCGGCUAACUCCGUGCCAGCAGCCGCCGCCG
rnacentral:rRNA from 1 species